AUACUGCCGGAACUGUGGCUAAUGGUGCGGACCACCCUGCUCACUGUUAGCAAAGUGGGUAGCUACCCUCUCUUCUGGAAGCCCCUCUGCAGCACUCCUCUUGGGAGUAGAAAAGGAAGUGGUCAAGGUCGACCUGCAAAGCAUUUCUCGCCUGCUCUGCGGCCUCCAUUCUGCUGCACACAGACUGGUUCUCCUCCUCUAACUACUGGCCAAAAAGGGAAGGGAGUACAAGCAUCAAAGACAAAUGACCUACAUUUGGGAGCUGAUCCGUCUUGCUCUCAGUUAGGGCCCAGCCCUUCUGUGGGGACCAGGAAAAUCUUUGCUCACCUGGAGAAGCUGCUGGUUCAGCCCAACUUUAUCUAACGCCAAAGCCUCAUUUAAGGCACUGAGCUUGACAGCUGCAGCCCGAAGAUCAGCUACUUCUGUCUUCAGGGUGUUUUCAGAACUCGACAGCUCUGCAAUUGACUGCUCUGCCUAAAAAACAAAAAGGAUUAAAGAGUUUCAUAUUUCCAAUUUUCCUGGAACAGUAAACAGUUCACAUUCCCAACA
rnacentral:lncRNA from 1 species